rnacentral:rRNA from 1 species
AGAAUCAACGCUGGCGGCGUGCCUAACACAUGCAAGUCGCACGAGAAAGGGGAGCAAUCCCUGAGUAAAGUGGCGCACGGGUGAGUAACACGUGAAUUAUCUACCUCCGAGUGGGGAAUAACCAAAGAAAUUUUGGCUAAUACCGCAUAACACUUACGAGUCAAAGCAGCAAUGCGCUUGGAGAGGAGUUCGCGGCAGAUUAGCUAGUUGGCGGGGUAAUGGCCCACCAAGGCGAUGAUCUGUA